rnacentral:rRNA from 1 species
CAGCAGUGAGGAAUAUUGGUCAAUGGUCGGGAGACUGAACCAGCCAAGCCGCGUGAGGGAGGAAGGUACAGAGUAUCGUAAACCUCUUUUGUCAGGGAACAAAGACUGGGACGCGUCCCCGGAUGAGUGUACCUGAAGAAAAAGCAUCGGCUAACUCCGUGCCAGCAGCCGCGGUAAUACGGAGGAUGCGAGCGUUAUCCGGAUUUAUUGGGUUUAAAGGGUGCGCAGGCGGUCUGUUAAGUCAGCGGUCAAAGCCCGGGGCUCAACCCCGGCCCGCCGUUGAAACUGGCAGUCUCGAGUUGGAGAGAAGUAUGCGGAAUGCGCGGUGUAGCGGUGAAAUGCAUAGAUAUCGCGCAGAACUCCGAUUGCGAAGGCAGCAUGCCGGCUCCACACUGACGCUGAGGCACGAAAGCGUGGGUAUCGAACAGGAUUAGA